UAUUGGUGAUGCAGGCAAUCUUUGAGAAGUAACUUAAAUAUCUCCCAUGCCUGAUAGAGAUUUUCAUCUUGCUUUUAUUUGAAACUUAGGAUCUCACUCCUCAACCU
rfam:Capsicum annuum cultivar Zunla-1 chromosome 5, whole genome shotgun sequence